AYUGGUAGGCUUGGGACCGGGAGAGGUGGGAGGUACUCCAGGGGUAGGGGUGAAAUCUCGUAAUCCUUGGGGGACCACCGAUGGCGAAGGCAUCCCMCCAGAACGGGUCCGACGGUGAGGGACGAAAGCUGGGGGCACGAACCGGAUUAGAUACCCGGGUAGUCCCAGCCGUAAACGAUGCUCGCUAGGUGUCAGGUGCGGUGCGACCGCAU
rnacentral:rRNA from 1 species